GCUGAGGAUUGAGGGCCGUGUCAAGCUUGAGCUCUUUCGUCAUUGCUAGAAAUGGACGUUUAGUUAUCGAAGCCUGCUGACGAGGGGAGCCAACAAGAGAGGGAUGUCGGCAUCGGGUCCGGUUUCAGCUGUGUGCAGCCUCCAAGCUUCAAGCACAAAGGAUCACUCAGUGGCUGAAGAGCAGGAGCCCCAAGCACCUUGCUAGUUUAUUGGAGUGCUCGGUAAUCUUCCUUCAGCUCGAGCAACGGGCUCCUCAACAAGUAUCAGGUGAGUCUUCUUCAGUUUCCUGGUUGGCCACUUCGUUCUUUUGCUUCCAUUUUACCUUUUGUUCCAAAUUUUUUGUCUGAAGAGUUAUCCUUUCUGGCAGCCUUUUGUGGCUUAACUUCCACUUUUGCAGGAACAGAUUACUUCUGGCCAUCAAAUGUGUGAGGUUUUGGAGCAUCCUACAACUCAAUUGACUUCAGAAACUGUCUACUUAGAUUUGGUGCGGACCCCACAGGUUAAGUGCUCAGUCCCACAGGAAUGCUCCCCUACUUCAGAUGCCAGAGGCACGUCCGGACUGUCACCUGUGCUUCCAAGCUUCUGCCUGUAAAUCAGAAGUUGCCUCUAUCCCCUCCUCAAGUUUGCAAAUUUGCUAGAGUAGCUCACAGAACUACUAGAGUACCUGUUUACUGUAAAAGGAUCCGACAGCCAGAUGGAGAUGCACACAGCAGCACAUGGGGAAAGGGUCAAGGAGCUUCCGCGCCUUCUUCAGGUGAGCCCCCUCCACAUGUUCACCCACCUGAAAGCUCUCAGAACCCCAUUUUUUUUACUUUUGAUGAAGGCAUCCGUACACACACGUGAUCAAGUCAUUGGCCGUUGGUGAUGCACUCAACUCUCAGCCCCUCUCUACUCCCAGGACUGGUCGGUGGGCUAAAAAUUCCAAACCUCUCAUCGCCUGGCUGGUUCCCCUGGAGACCUGCCCCCAUCCUGAGGCAAUCCAGGAGCCCCCAGUCACCAGUCACUUCAUUAAUAUACAAAAGACUUUGAUCACUCUGGGAUUCCAGGGCUUUAGGAGCUGUGUGCCAGGAAAUGGGGGCAGAGAGUAAGUAUAGUCGUUCAGUGCACAGGAUGUUUACGUCAAGGCUGGGCAUAGUGGCUCAUGUCUAUAAUCCCAACACUUUGGGAGGCCGAAGUGGGUGAAUUGCUUGAGGCCAGGAGUUCAAGACCAUCUUAGGCAACACAGUGAAACCUUGUCUCUACAAAAAAUACAAAAAUUAGUUGGGUGUGGUGGUGAGCGCCUGUAGUCCCAGCUACUCAGGAGACUGAGGUAGGAGGAUCACUUGAACCCCAAAGGCAGAGGUUGCAGUGAGCCAAGAUUGCACCACUACACUCCAGCCUGGGUAAUGGAGCAAGACCUCUCAAAAGAAAAGGAUGUUUAGUUCAACAACGGACCACAUACACCAUAGUGAUCCUGAGACAGCCAGGUGGGAGGGGGUCCCUGGAGAAACUCCAAUCAGCCUACGCACUGGGCUGGAGCCCCACAAAGUUUGCUCCCUUUGCAGUGGGGAGGAGCCUGGCCCCUCCUCUUCCUGUGUGGAACCUGGGAUUCAAGCCGCAAGCGGGAAGUGCGCUAGCCUAGGGAUUCUGGCCUAGGGAGAGUCCCGUUUCCCCUUUCCUUCCUUUUCAUCCAAUAAAACCCGUCUUACUCACC
rnacentral:lncRNA from 1 species